rnacentral:rRNA from 1 species
AUUGAACGCUGGCGGCAGGCCUAACACAUGCAAGUCGAACGAGUGGCGGACGGGUGAGUAAUGUCUGGAAAACUGCCUGAUGGAGGGGGCUAACUACUGUAAACGGUAGCUAAUACCGCAUACCAUCAGAUGUGCCCAGAGGGGUAUAGCUAGUUGGUGGGGUAACGGCGCACCAAGGCGACGAUCCCUAGCUGGUCUGAGAGGAUGACCAGCCACACUGGAACGGAGACAUGGUCCAGACUCCUACGGGAGGCAGCAGUGGGGAAUAUUGCACAAUGGGCGAAAGCGUGAUGCAGCCAUGCCGCGUGUAUGAAGAAGGCUUUCGGGUUGUAAAGUACUUUCAGCGGGGAGGCGUUACCCGCAGAAGAAGCACCGGCUAACUCCGUGCCAGCAGCCGCGGUAAUUC